rnacentral:rRNA from 1 species
GAUGAACGCUGGCGGCGUGCCUAAUACAUGCAAGUCGAGCGAACAGACGAGGAGCUUGCUCCUCUGACGUUAGCGGCGGACGGGUGAGUAACACGUGGAUAACCUACCUAUAAGACUGGGAUAACUUCGGGAAACCGGAGCUAAUACCGGAUAAUAUAUUGAACCGCAUGGUUCAAUAGUGAAAGACGGUUUUGCUGUCACUUAUAGCUGGAUCCGCGCCGCAUUAGCUAGUUGGUAAGGUAACGGCUUACCAAGGCAACGAUGCGUAGCCGACCUGAGAGGGUGAUCGGCCACACUGGAACGGAGACACGGUCCAGACUCCUACGGGAGGCAGCAGUAGGGAAUCUUCCGCAAAGGGCGAAAGCUUGACGGAGCAACGCCGCGUGAGUGAUGAAGGUCUUCGGAUCGUAAAACUCUGUUAUUAGGGAAGAACAAAUGUGUAAGUAACUAUGCACGUCUUGACGGUACCUAAUCAGAAAGCCACGGCUAACUACGUG